AUGACAUCUAUGUAAAUUUAUAAUUUCGAUUGUGAGAGCGUUCUGGACGCACCUCUGGUGUACCACUUAUCGUGCCCACGGUAAACGCUGGGUAGUCAAGUGCGGAGCGGAUAACUGCUGAAAACAUUUAAGUAGCAAGCCCACUCCAAAAAGAGUGCUCUCCUGUUCCGAUUUCCUCGGAGUCUCCGGUAGCACAGCUAAGACAACGACGGGUUCUCUGCCCCUACGGGGAUGGAGCGACAGAAGUUUUGAAAAAUCAAGAGAAGGUCACGACGAGACGAGCCGUUUAUCAUUAUGAUAGGUGUCAAGUGGAAGUGCAGUGAUGUAUGCAGCUAAGGCAUCCUAACAGACCGG
rnacentral:ncRNA from 1 species